UGAUUUACUUACCGUUUUGGUUGUUUAAAAAAAGGUGUCCAAGACACCUUGAUACGAUUUUAAGGUCUUUUGACGUUUUGUUUUUGACAUCGACAUCUUUUCGAAUUCUUUAUCACAUCAACAACAAUGGAUACUAAUCGCAGAGUCGAACACGCCGGACUCCGAGAAACGAAAUUUUACGGUUGAUGAUGACCCAUCAAAUUGGGGAAUCAGUAUAAAAAGAAAUCAGAGUAUGUGUUUAAUUAAUGAAUAUGAUAAAUUGCCAUCAUUCAAUACAAUACUAGCAGAUUAUAACGAUAGUUUUUUUUUUUUUUUUUUUUUUUUAAAGGGGGGGGGGUCGUACGCCCAUUACGCCCUUACCUGGACCCGCCCCUGG
rnacentral:lncRNA from 1 species